GACGAACGCUGGCGGCGUGCCUAACACAUGCAAGUCGAACGGAACUGUUUUGAAAGAUUUCUUCGGAAUGAAUUUGAUUUAGUUUAGUGGCGGACGGGUGAGUAACGCGUGAGUAACCUGCCUUCGAGAGGGGGAUAACAUUCUGAAAAGAAUGCUAAUACCGCAUGAUAUAUCGGAACCACAUGGUUUUGAUAUCAAAGAUUUUAUCGCUUGAAGAUGGACUCGCGUCCGAUUAGUUAGUUGGUGAGGUAACGGCUCACCAAGACCGCGAUCGGUAGCCGGACUGAGAGGUUGAACGGCCACAUUGGGACUGAGACACGGCCCAGACUCCUACGGGAGGCAGCAGUGGGGGAUAUUGCGCAAUGGGGGCAACCCUGACGCAGCAACGCCGCGUGAAGGAUGAAGGUUUUCGGAUUGUAAACUUCUUUUAUUAAGGACGAAACUUGACGGUAC
rnacentral:rRNA from 1 species